rnacentral:rRNA from 1 species
UACAGAGGGGGCAAGCGUUGUUCGGAAUUACUGGGCGUAAAGGGCCAGUAGGCGGCCAACUAAGUCACACGUGAAAUCCCCAGGCUUAACCUGGGAACUGCGUGUGAUACUGGAUGGCUUGAAUUCGGGAGAGGGAUGCAGAAUUCCAGGUGUAGCGGUGAAAUGCGUAGAUAUCUGGAGGAAUACCGGUGGCGAAGGCGGCAUCCUGGACCGACAUUGACGCUGAACGGCGAAAGCUAGGGGAGCAAACGGG